rnacentral:misc_RNA from 1 species
UUCAUCUUCCGCUUCGUUUCUUCCGUUGCCGGUGACUCUCGUCCAUCGCAACCGCCGUCUCCGUCCUCUCGUUUCUGUCUCUAGAAAACCUCAUAUAUCCUUCCUCUCCAUCAAGAAAAAUUACCCAAUCCACCGCAAUGACCCGACCCGCUUCAUUUCUCCGAUUUCUCUCUCUCCUCUCCCUCCUACUACUCAUCUUCUCUCCCUCUUAUGUUGCUGCUGAUUCCCACUUCGAAGGCUUCGAAGCCGAAGAAGACGACGUCGUAGAGGAAACCAUAGACCAUGACUCCUUUAAACUCACCGAUCUUCCCUUAACUCGGUCCGAUUCACCACUUACCUCAGUCCCAGAGCCUACAUCGGAAAAUUCUGAAGUAAACCCGAGUUCCAACUCCGAUUCGGGUUUCGAGGAUUGAGAAUC